CCUACGGGUGGCAGCAGUGGGGAAUAUUGGGCAAUGGGCGCAAGCCUGACCCAGCAACGCCGCGUGAAGGAAGAAGGCUUUCGGGUUGUAAACUUCUUUUGUCAGGGACGAAGCAAGUGACGGUACCUGACGAAUAAGCCACGGCUAACUACGUGCCAGCAGCCGCGGGAAUACGUAGGUGGCAAGCGUUAUCCGGAUUUACUGGGUGUAAAGGGCGUGUAGGCGGGAAAGCAAGUCAGAUGUGAAAACCAUGGGCUCAACCUGUGGCCUGCAUUUGAAACUGUUUUUCUUGAGUACUGGAGAGGCAGGCGGAAUGCGGGGUGUAGCGGUGAAAUGCGUAGAUAUAAGGAGGAACACCAGUGGCGAAGGCGGAUUGCUGGACAGCAACUGACGCUGAGGCGCGAAAGCGUGGGGAGCAAACAGGAUUAGAUACCCGGGUAGUC
rnacentral:rRNA from 1 species